ensembl:lncRNA
UUGUAGAUCAUUAAACUGUUACCUCAUUAGUCUGUCCAAAAUCAGUUUUGUGAGGUACCUUAUGCCGAGUUCACGCUGCACGUUUUUCAAAGUAGUCAGACCAACGCUCCUUUCAGACUGCAUGACUAUCUGGGGUAUCGUUCAGACACUGCUGUGUUCACUCUGCAUGAUGGAUAGGGGGUUACAUAUUGCAUGACUUUACAAGAGGAAGAAUCGUUGACAACUCUGUCCUGUCCGCAGACUAUUUUUAUUACUACUAAUAUUACUAUUACUUUAAUAUUACUAUUUCACAACAAAACACGUGAGAAGUCACAAGGAAAUAACAAGAUCACGAGUGUGUGUGACCGGAGUUCUCAUGUGAGACCAAAUAGUCUGUGCGCUGAUUUGUGAAAAGUAUAAAAAGAAAAAAAACAUUAUGAAAAUUAAGUGAUAGUCUCUCUAUUUUAGAGUGUUUAUACUUCUUUUAGAGCAUUUUUCCAGGAGGAAUUGAUUGGGGAGAUGUGGGGAGCAAGGAUUAUGUUCUUGCAAGAGUUGGAGAAGUGAAAUAAAUUUCAGAGCUGCUGUUCAACACGACAGUUCAGAGGAAGACAAAGACAGAAGUACAAACAUUGAGGUGAGUGUUUGAUCGUGCUCUAGUUGUUUUCAUGUAUGAAUGUUGUCUUAUGAUGUGUCAUUGGUCACUUUGUGCUUCUUUAUUGCUGUGCUGAAGUUGUUUUGAUGGUUUUAUUUAAAGCUCUUCUUGUUGUGAUCAAACAGAUGAACAAGUGUGUCUUUGUCAGUGAUUCACAGAAAGCUGCAGAUUCUGAUACUGUUGUCACAACGGAGUUCUCUCAACUUGACUUCUGAAGUCGCUGAAGGAAUUGGUCAAAGAAGAUCUGAAGAAGUUUCAGUGGCACUAUAUCAACAUCUGAAAUGGAGAUUGCAGGUCGAUUAAAAAAAGUGGAUAAGCUGGUGAUGGGUGAAGCUGUGAAGAUCACGGUCGGCAUCCUGAGGAAGAUGGACCAGAACAAUCUGGCUGAGCAGCUGGAUAACAAACACAUGCAUGCUCAGGCUGAAGGCAACAUGAAGACAUCUUAUUCUGCUGAAGCUCAUUCAAAAGAGAUACAGGGUAAAUAACUAUCACUGCUUGUACUGUACAUGGAAAUAAGAAGAAAUAAAACAGCAAUUGCAGGACA